GACGAACGCUGGCGGCGUGCUUAACACAUGCAAGUCGAACGGAAAGGCCCCCACUUUUUUGGUGGGGGUGCUCGAGUGGCGAACGGGUGAGUAACACGUGGGUGAUCUGCCCUGUACUUCGGGAUAAGCUUGGGAAACUGGGUCUAAUACCGGAUAGGACCAUGGUUUAGUGUCUCAUGGUGGAAAAAUUAUUGUUUUGGUGCAGGAUGAGCUCGCGGCCUAUCAGCUUGUUGGUGGGGUAAUGGCCUACCAAGGCGUCGACGGGUAGCCGGCCUGAGAGGGUGGACGGCCACAUUGGGACUGAGAUACGGGCCAGACUCCUACGGGAGGCAGCAGUGGGGAAUAUUGCACAAUGGGCGCAAGCCUGAUGCAGCGACGCCGCGUGGGGGAUGACGGCCUUCGGGUUGUAAACUCCUUUCGUUAGGGACGAAGCCGCACCUUUUUUGGGUGUGGUGACGGUACCUUUGUUAAGAAGCACCGGCUAACUACGUG
rnacentral:rRNA from 1 species